UCACAGCGCAACCUGUCCUACCAUGUUGUGGAUGCCCCCUCACUGGAAGCAUUCAAGGCCAGGCUGGAUGGGGCUGUGAGCAACCUGGUCUGGUGGGAGGUGUCCCUGCCUAUAGCAGGGGGGUUGGAGCUGGAUGAUCUGAAAGGUCCCUUCCAACUCAAACCAUUUUAUGAUUCAAUGAUUCUAUGAUUCUAGGUUACGCUUACACUUACGUGAGUUUUGGGUGAGGCAGGUGUAUGGAUGGUCUCACCAGCCACCAACUGAGAAUAAUAAAAACAAAUAACUAUUCAACAUGAGUACUAAUUUAACGGCCAAAGAACUUGAAAGCUGUGGUAGCUCCUGUCAGAUGUGCUAGGAGAAAGAUCAACUGGAGUUGAUUGCUUGCUGAGAACAAGGAUGGAUUUGUUUUAUGCUGGCAUUGAAAACAGUGAAACCAAAGCAGAGCGGCGAAGUGCCCAUUCACCUUCCGAGAGCUGGGUUACUCAGCCAGAGCCUUGCAACAGCACUGCUGCCCCUUCCAUCAGGAACUCCGUGUCCGUGCAUGCAUCCAGCCAACACGCGACCAUCAGGAAGAAUGAUGUGGUGCGAAGGUGAGAUGAUCUCACCUCCAACAGGAAAACAGCUUAGGCACCCAACAUCCAAGGAGGUUUUAGCCAGGGCUGGAGCCCUCCUUGUCCCCUCUCUGAGUGGGAUGCACCAAGAAGACACUAAGCCAGAGUUUAGCAUCACCCCAAUUCAGAUCCUGCAAUCUCCUCCAUCCCUCUCCUAAAGGAGACAAGAAGAAUGAAACAGUAAAAAAAGACGGAGCAAAUUACCGACUUCUGGGGGAAGAUUGUACUGGAGAUAGAGCUGUAAUUAUAAUCCCUUUCAACAGCUGAGAAUUUUGUUGUUUCACGGCCUCGCUUCCAAAGCCUGCUGGGUUUCUCCGCUUUGGUUGUGCCGAGAAUCUCUCCCCCUACUGGUAAUUCGUUAUCGGCUUCAGAUCAACCUUGGCCUUGCCAUUGGCAGGUGUUUUGGUAAGGACAUCCCUGGGGCCAUCAGUGGAAGCAUGGCAGGCUGUGCCCCUCUUCUCCUCCCCAUCACCAUGAAUCAGGGACCAUGUUGCCUCUCAAUAACAAGUCUUGCUGAUGCAAGAGGGCUGACAGUGACCCACCUUGCAAUUAGUGGUGUGUUUUGGGAGAAAUGCUAAUAAGCACUCUGGUGAAGGAGAACCAGGGGAGAGAGGCGUGUGCUGCCUUGACUCAGCUUCUGCUGGGGUGAAGGGAGAAGAAGGGUGAUUCUCAUCAUCCACUGGAUAUGUUUGCAUGGCUUUGCUCUCCCCUCCUGGGUGAAGACCCUUUCCCUUGGCUUGGGGCAUCCUGUAAUGGUUGAGCUCGUGGAGAGCCCUGGAGUAGAAGUCACCACAAAUUUUAGAUAUGAUGCAUUGGCUCAGGCUGCCCAGGGAGAGUGGAGUUACCAUCCCUGCAGGUGUUUAAGAAACGUGUCGAUGUGACACUGAGGGACAUGUUUAGUGGGCAUGGUAGGGAUGGAUUGACGGUUGAACUAGAUAAUCUUAGUGGUCUUUUCCAACCUAUGUGAUUCUAUGAUUCUAUGUGCAUUGCCAUCCUUUCCCAUAUGCUUUUACAGUUUCUAUGCCUCUCUCCUUCCACAAGCAUCUUAUUACCAAUGCCCUUUUCCUCCCUUACUUUUCUGACGGGUACCACUUUGCAGCCUGCCAUAGCAGGCCACUAUUUCUUCAAAAGCAGGAGCUGCCACCCAAAAUAACCCCA
ensembl:lncRNA